CCUACGGGGGGCAGCAGUGGGGAAUAUUGGACAAUGGGGGCAACCCUGAUCUAGCCAUGCCGCGUGUGUGAAGAAGGCCCUCGGGUUGUAAAGCACUUUCAGUGAGGAAGAACGCCUGGUGGUUAAUACCCAUCAGGAAAGACAUCACUCACAGAAGAAGCACCGGCUAACUCCGUGCCAGCAGCCGCGGUAAUACGGAGGGUGCGAGCGUUAAUCGGAAUUACUGGGCGUAAAGCGCGCGUAGGUGGCUUGAUAAGCCGGUUGUGAAAGCCCCGGGCUCAACCUGGGAACGGCAUCCGGAACUGUCAAGCUAGAGUGCAGGAGAGGAAGGUAGAAUUCCCGGUGUAGCGGUGAAAUGCGUAGAGAUCGGGAGGAAUACCAGUGGCGAAGGCGGCCUUCUGGACUGACACUGACACUGAGGUGCGAAAGCGUGGGUAGCAAACAGGAUUAGAUACCCUUGUAGUC
rnacentral:rRNA from 1 species